UGCGGAAGGUCCGGGCGUUAUCCGGAUUUAUUGGGUUUAAAGGGAGCGUAGGCCGCUUUGUAAGCGUGUUGUGAAAUUUGCCGGCUCAACCGGUAACUUGCAGCGCGAACUGCAGAGCUUGAGUGUGCGCAACGUUGGCGGAAUUCGUCGUGUAGCGGUGAAAUGCUUAGAUAUGACGAAGAACUCCGAUUGCGAAGGCAGCUGACGGGAGCACUACUGACGCUGAAGCUCGAAAGUGCGGGUAUCGAACAGG
rnacentral:rRNA from 1 species